GUCUGUGGGAGGAAGCUUGCCUGGAGUGACGGAUGGUGUGGACAGCUGCAGGGCAACAUGAAAGGGGUGUGGGCUGAGUGUGUGUGUGUGUGUGUGUGUCGAGUGUGCAAGACGAGUGUGUCUACACUAUGCCCCUCCCUGUGCCUGCACCUUGAUUCUGUUUGAUCUGGUAGGUUCUGUGCCCCGCAUCUCCAGCCCACCAUCCUAAAAUGAAAAGCCAAACUCCUGUGGCUCCCCCCUCCCUGUGGUGCUGUGCUGUGAGGACCCCCAGAGCAGCAUCCGCAGGGAAAUUUUAAAAAGUGUGUAUUUAUUUUUA